rnacentral:lncRNA from 1 species
UGCCCACCUCUGCCUCCCAAAGUGCUGGGAUUACAGGUGUGAGCCACCGCACCCAGUCAGCUCACUUAAUUUUCAUGGAAUACAGUGGGCAUUAUGAUCCCAAUUUUACAAGUGAGAAAACUGAGAAGGAGAGAGGUCCCCAAAGUUGCCUAAAGUCACACAGUAAGUGGUAGAGUCAGGAUUCCAGCUGAAGUCUGCUUCCAAAUCCCACCUUCUAACCGCUGCCACUAGACUGCUGUGUCUGCUGGGGUGUUAGGUCACAGGAGAAAAGAGAUAAUGGCUUUGUGACCCGGGAGCUCCGCCUUCACCUCCUCCUGCCAUCCUCAGCAUGAGCCAGCUGCAUGAGGGGUGCUGUGUGCUGGGCUGGAGGAUGGAGCCAUGUGCCACUCCCUCCGAGGCACGCUGUGAAGGUGCAAGUGGUGUGUUCUGAGAGUGCGGAGGAUGAAAACUUCUCACCCAGCUUUCUACAUUCAAGUUUACAAGUGCUGCUCAGGACCCACUGAUUAUUUCCAGGGGAAGAUCACCAAACCGCCUAAGGCCGAGACUCCCAGGAUAGCGCAGCAUGCCCCGGAGUCCCCCAGCUCGAUUUGCUCAGAACUCAGAAAGAAAACAGCCCACACUCCUUGAACUUCAGGCACUGAUGGAGGCAUUUUCCAAAGAACAGUGACAAGGACGGCCAGCACCUCUCUUGCAUUCCUCAGUCUGACUCAAGCUGCUCUUCCACCCUCCUCCCCAGCUGGAGCUGAGGCUGAAGGCAGUUGAGGGCCACCAGGGAGAAGAGCUGGGUCAGGGCCGUGACUUGCCAGCAAGCAUGAGGCCAAGCAGAUGUGCCGGGCUUCAGAGAAGUGAUUUUACCCUGAGCUACACAGGCAGGAAGACCACCAGCCUGGAAGGCAGGACGUACGAAUGAUGUUAUUUCUGGCAAGGAGGACACGGCUGCUGUGGUUGAUUGGCUGUGGAAUUCCAGGGGAGCAAGGCACUAGGAAGUGGGGAACGCUGCCAGGCCCAGCAGCUCAUCAGGAGCUUGCACUUGGCCCAGUUAGGGCUGGCCGUGGGACGGGCUUGUUGAAGCUGCUGCCGCCAUAAGCUGCCCCUCUGCACCAGGAGACAGAUCCCAUUACCCCACCUACAGCUGCUUCCUGGUACAAGAGAAGAGUUACCAUUUGAAAUGACUCCACAGGAGAGUCUGACAAACAUGUUUGCUUUUCACUGACAAUUAAAAUUGUUUUGCUGCUAAUCUUGUUUUAUUGUGGUCUUUCAUCCAUCAGCAAGCAUCCCUGCACGCAAGAUCAGAGUUGGGUAAAUACAUCCAGACCCUGCCAGGAUUAGGGCAAGAGGGAGUGCUCUGGGCCGGCAGAUCUUUUUCGGAAAUUCUCACUUCUUGGAGCACUAAAGGGUUGUUAGUCUAUCUGGGCAAGCCUCGUUUCCCUGGAGAAAAUGGAGUCUCAGAGAUUAGUGACUGGUCCUAGAGCUAAUGAGUGACCAAAGUGUGACCAGAGCCCAGGUCUGCUUCUCAACCCAGGGCACUUUGAUUCCAGAUUGAGAUGUAAGGUGACAGGUGCCUUAAUAGUGGCGCAAAAGAUGUGCAUUCCCCUCUUCCUCCCUCCCCGCUCCCUGCUCCCCCAGCGGCACCCUGACCUUCCUCAAAUGCAGAAUCAAGAUUUCAGCAGGGGGGCCAGCCCUUUCCCUGCCCCACCCUCCUCGAAUUCAGUGACUCAGGAGUGGGAAGGGGGUUAGCUAUGCCCUUAGAAGGGGGCCAGCUUCUGCAGAGGCCACUGGAAAACUCAUCAGGAUUCUCACUCACAAAGCCACUGCCACAUUCUAAGUAGGAAGUCGGAGUUGGAAAUGAGGCUGGUGUGAGACACAAUAAAUGGCUCAUCGCCAGGAAACUGGGGAGUAGGGCGGCCAAGGGAGGGCGGCGAGCGUGGAAUCCCAAGGCUAAGUCACGUCCCUCCCAUCCUCAGGACUGGGCUGUUGCUCUGGUGAGAUGAAUGAAGAUCCUGCUCCACGGCGUCACAGGUGGAUGCUUACAUAGAAUGCCGGGCUCUGGGGGACUUGACGUGGUUUCAGCCGCUGCAGCAUCGCCCCACAGAGAUUCUGUGCUCUUCCUGUUCACCAGCCCGCUGUCUGCCAUGGGGAUUGGUCACGUGUUAACCACCUUUCGUUCAAGCUGUUUCGGGAUCAGACUUUUCCUUCUCUGGUACAUGGGAGACCUUUCCUCUCUGCAGCUCCUGAAUGUACAAAGCCCCUGGUGCCUACCCGUGGUUACUGUGUGUGUGUGUGUGUGUGUGUGUGUGUGUGUGUGUCUGUGCGCGCGCGCGCGCGUGCGUACACCUGGGAACGGUUAUGCACACCCUCACAGGACUGCAUCCACACAAGCUACUCGGCGUGGUGGGCUGGGCCGAGAGACAGUCAGCUGGUCUCUUUGCUAAGCUACCAGAAGUCGGCUAACAAAAUGAAAAAACUUCUCCAGCAGGGGGCGCUGGUUCCUAAGUCAGAGAAAGGAUUUCGGGGAACACAAGGUUAGACACUUUCUGGUGCAGUCCCCACAAGCCACCUUAGGCUUUAAAGUCAACUUGACACGUCCCACGAGGAAGGGGGCAGGUGAGAUGUGAUACGUUCAGGAAUCAACGACCCUACGGGAGCAGCUACAGUGACAGCAGUAGCUAUGGUAACCAACGUACAAAGCUGGGCUGUGAACUAGCUGUUGGAGUCGUUUCAGCAAGCGCGUCCUGAAGCAGUGCCGUUGACGCCCCGCCCCUCGCUUCUCCAAUGCUGGAAUUGUAGCUCUCACUUCUCUCCUUGCCCUCUGUCCCCUUUUCCUAGGCACGGAUGCUUCAUCUCCCGAGGACCCGGGAGGCCUCCUGAGCCUUUGCUGAGCUUUCCCUGGUGCUCCUUUUUGCAGUCCAGCGAAUCCAGGGGACUGGGGCACACUGCAAGGGGUUGUGGUGGUGCUGGGGCUGCCAGAGGAGUGUCCCAACCAAGAAACUGGCGAAGCUGCAGACUCGACCUAGCAGUCCCCCACCUCUGGCCCACAGAGUUGGAGCCAGGCCCUGUCUUGGUUCUCAAUGCACUCAAAAGCUUAAAUCCUAGUAAACCCUCCACUGCGGAGCGAGAAAA